rnacentral:lncRNA from 1 species
UGCUUAUAUGACUCAGAAACUCAAAUAUCAACAAGUCAACAAUCUAAUAAGAAUUGCUGGAAGUGCUAUAGAUAGAGAGUUUACUGGAAAGGUGAUGUUCCCAAGUCCCAAAAAGCUACUGAUUAUUACAAAGACCAUGUGUGGCUCAGGAAACACUGUGGAAAAGGAGGCAGCAAGAUGGUAAUAAGAAGAGGAUAUGGAAGACAUUAAGAAGUAAACAGUGCCUUCUGAGCCCAGCAGGACCAGUGCACAUAUGAACUCACAAGAGACUGGCAGCAAUCACAAGGAUUACAGAAGUCUGUGCAAGAUGGGGGUCCCAAAACUGAGAGUAGUGGGCAUAAGACCCCAUCCCCAACCCAAAAAACUAUCUCCAGUUGAUAGCCAGACACAAAUGAAAAAAUAUUUUUCUUCAACAGAGUCUUACUGGGGAUAAAAUUUCUCUAAAGGACAGGCCUCAUGCCUGGAAGUAGAUGACUGACACAAAAUGAAGUCAGUGGCACCCUUGGAAGUUCUUUGUUGUUUGUUUUCCUGGAAAUUGUUUUAAAGAUUCCUCAUGCG